AUAACAAUGUGUGGAUAUGUGUAGCCUGCUAGCUUCCUAGCAAGUUGAACAGAAACCUUGCUGGCAAGCUAGUUUGUUGUAGCUUUGAUGUUAGUCGCUUGCCUUGUCGAAUGGCACUGAGCGAUUGAACAAGUUUGGGGGAAAGUUUGCGCUAUAUCAGCCACUCCUCUGUUUGUGGGGCACCACUAAUUUCUGUUGCUGACUUGCUGUGGGGAUGCAUGUAGCACAUCAGAUUUGCUAGCUAAACAGUGCUUGCAACAGUUCAGCAUCAUUGUACUGGGUAACUAGACGACAGUCAAGUCUAUGCAACUAAUGCUGAAGCUUCCUUUCUGAGGUUUUAUAGAAGUUACCAAACCAUGCAGUUCACCGUAGGUGUUUAUGAAGUAUGUUUAAUUUUAUUGCAUUUGUCAGCCAGGCAUAGCUACCUGAGGUGUUGUUAAACUUCGUUUCGCCCAAAUUGGCGAGCUAGCUAACGUUGGCUAAGCACUUGGGAAAAGGAUGUACCGAAACCGUGUAGCUAGAAGCUAAAUGUUAGCUAUCUGUGUAAUGUGACGUUUACUUUGCGGGACAAGGAAGACUGUGGAGUUUCCGUCCUUAGAGUUACACACUUCAGCCAACGACUUGCUAGAGAAUGUGCCCGUGACUGCCUAUGGCAGAUGGCUGAAAUGUAGUUGCUGCUGUCUGAUUCUGAGAACACUAGUGGCCUUUUGUUGUAACCCUUUGAGUGGAUUUUUUUGGAAUGUUUUUUUUUUUUUUUCUCCAGAACUCCGUUGCUUUCAGUUACCAGCGGUGAUUGUUACACCAACAUUACAAGGUUCAGUUACAAUUCAGAGCAUUCAAAUCACAUAUUUGUUAAAAAGUGAAGUGUUUCUUCUUGAAUUAAGACACCUAAGACACGUAAGUGCCUGUACGUUUAUACUCGCAGUUCCAUAAAAUACUGCCUUCAGAAAAUUUAUACCCAUGCUCUUGCUGCAACACUCAUCACAGUCUCCGUUGGGGAUUCAGGAAAGCAUAGAUGAGCUUGUACUCUGCUACAAAGCACAGUUUGUACUCACGUGCAGCUCAACAGAGGAACCUGAUGGUGACUUAAAGACCAGUGGGGGUCUCUUUCCAUCAGCCCCUACAGUAUUUGAUUUUUAAAAGGACAGAUGGGUUAAAUGACACUAGCUACUGUGUCUAACCCGUUAUAGGUGUUGAAGUUAAUUUCAUGCACUCCUGUGAACCCAUUUUUGGCUGGACCGCAACAGCGGGGCCAGCCCUAUAAAUGCAAAUGUCUGUGACUGAGUGACUGAGUGAGUGAUGAAGUUACACCGCGCAUGUCUGUGACUGAGUGACUGACUGAUGAAGUUACACCAUUGGUCGGUCCAGCCAUAUACUAGGUUUUGACCUGGUCUUGUUUCAUGGCAUUUUGGUGUAUUGUGAUACGCGAUUAGGUUUCUAAAAAGUGCAAUGCUUUAUGUGCUAACGCGUGACAUUCUGCAGAAAGUCACAAUCAUUUGAAUACUACCACUAGGACAUGUGGCCAAGUAGUUCGUAGUGAAGUGAAACCUAAACCAGGUGUGACAUUAUUGUGACAACUACAGUAGCAUAUGCUACAUAGGAGAAGUGAGACAGCUACAGAAUCACAUCACCUGGCAUGCGAGGUACAGAUGUAGCUGUAACAGUCCUCCUACCUGUCGGUACCAGUAAGAUUUGAUCAUAAGGUUAUCUGAACCCUAUGAUAAUUCUUCCACAGUAAAGUUAGGCUAUAAGCUAGGUUUAUUCACUCUCAAAAGUAAAAGAAGUGUCUUGAAAUAUAGGCUAUAGCAUAAAGGUUGUUUGGUGGGAAUUAAAUCUCAUGUUGGGACUGAAUCUGCAUCCUAUCAAAUGUAAUGUUAAAGAAGCUGUAUUUUAUUUUAUUUGUGAACACCCUGAUAAAUAUAUUGCGAUUUAUGAUAACCAGAAUGAUGUUUGCGUUGUAGAUAAACUUUUGGUCCUGGAGUGGUGGAGGAUUGUUGAAUGAGACGAAUAUUGUUUGUAGUGUGUGCUUUACAGCCAUCUGUAUUAACACUGACAUAGUAACAUCUGUACUUUCACAGAGGAUAAUAUUUCCUGAAGUGCAUUGUUAACGUGGCCUACAUGUUGACCAGAUAAAGUUUCCAUUUUGCAAACUGCUUUGAAACACCAACUGAUGCUGUGAUUUAACUGUAAAAUUGGCCUGUAAAAAUUUAUACUGGUUGUGUGAAUGAUGGUACAUCCUAUAUGUAGGCUACAUGGUAUCUUUGAGUCUUCCUGGAGUCCCUUUUACCUGUGAGGUCCUCCUGAGUAAUCUGUAGGACUCCACAGUAACUGCAUAUCCUGUACUGAAGUCAAUUUAGCCUAAAUGUCACUAGUCAGAGCACAUACAGUCCACACAGCAUGAUGUAAAAAAAAAAGACGUUCACGUGGAAGUCCUACAGUUCAGCUUCAGCUUGUUGAAGUCUGUUGGUUUACAGCGUCAGUUCUGUUGAGUACUAGGAUGGGGUGCAUGGAGAAUUUGCUAGUGUGGCUAUCUAAAUGGGUCUUUGUCCUGUUUCUGUUUAUACAGUAGCCUACUUUAUUUUUUUUUUUACGGGAGCGCUUUAAUGUGAUUCACAAACUUAACUAGUAGCCUAAAUCUGGUUAAGUUAGGUAGCUCCAACUUACUACUCUGUCUGAGGCAAACAACUCCUCACUGUGUCAACAAGAUGAGCAUUAUUAUGCCCGCGCUAUGACAGGAUGUAGAGAUAACGGUUGCCGUGCCCACACCGGUAUGGCAAAAUGUAGAGUUGACCGUUGUGAUUUGAGCUUGACCGAUAUGUGGUUUUUAAGCCUGAUAAAGAUAGUGAUUUCAGAGGGGGAAAUUCUCUGAUUAUCGAUAUGGUGGCUGAAGUUUUUGAGCCGGAAUGAAAAUGAACAUUUUCUGUGUGGCUUAUGCACUCCUAUGACAAUGAAAAGGCACUCAGGAGGCUAGUUUCUUAACAAAAACUU